rnacentral:rRNA from 1 species
GUAGGUGGCAAGCGUUGUCCGGAAUUAUUGGGCGUAAAGCGCGCGCAGGCGGUCCUUUAAGUCUGAUGUGAAAGCCCACGGCUCAACCGUGGAGGGUCAUUGGAAACUGGGGGACUUGAGUACAGAAGAGGAAAGCGGAAUUCCAAGUGUAGCUGUGAAAUGCGUAGAGAUUUGGAGGAACACCAGUGGCGAAGGCGGCUUUCUGGUCUGUAACUGACGCUGAGGCGCGAAAGCGUGGGGAGCAAACAGGGAUUAGAUACCCUGGUAGUCCACGCCGUAAACGAUGAGUGCUAAGUGUUAGGGGGUUUCCGCCCCCUUAGUGCUGCAGCUAACGCAUUAAGCACUCCGCCUGGGGAGUACGGCCGCAAGGCUG